GGCGUGCUUAACACAUGCAAGUCGAACGAUGAAGCCUAGCUUGCUAGGUGGAUUAGUGGCGAACGGGUGAGUAAUACGUGAGUGACCUACCUUUGACUCUGGGAUAAGCCUGGGAAACUGGGUCUAAUACCGGAUACGACCAAUCUCCGCAUGGGGUGUUGGUGGAAAGCGUUAUGGAGUGGUUUUAGAUGGGCUCACGGCCUAUCAGCUUGUUGGUGAGGUAAUGGCUUACCAAGGCGACGACGGGUAGCCGGCCUGAGAGGGUGACCGGCCACACUGGGACUGAGACACGGCCCAGACUCCUACGGGAGGCAGCAGUGGGGAAUAUUGCACAAUGGGCGCAAGCCUGAUGCAGCGACGCCGCGUGAGGGAUGACGGCCUUCGGGUUGUAAACCUCUGUUAGCAUCNAAGAAGCNAAAGUGACGGUAGGUGCAGAGAAAGCGCCGGCUAACUACGUGCCAGCAGCCGCGGUAAUACGUA
rnacentral:rRNA from 1 species